UAGUGUAGUUCUUCUGUAGUGUAGUUCUUCUGUAGUGUAGUUCUACUGUAGUGUAGUUCUACUGUAGUGUAGUUCUACUGUAGUGUAGUUCUACUGUAGUGUAGUUCUUCUGUAGUGUAGUUCUACUGUAGUGUAGUUCUACUGUAGUCUAGUUCUACUGUAGUGUAGUUCUACUGUAGUGUAGUUCUACUGUAGUCUAGUUCUAUUGUAGUGUAGUUCAACUGUAGUGUAUUCUUCUGGAGUGUAGUUCUAUUCUAAAGUAUUUAAACUGGAACAACCAUUUCAGUAAUUGAGUCAAUAUAUCCAAGUAACAGAUUAAUAGUUUUUCUGUAUCAAGGUCAGAAGGCUUUGUAUUCUUGAGUCUUUCCAAAAGUGAACAACCUGGAAAAACUUCCCCCGAACAGAGAGAUGGAGGACAUUCAUCACAGCUGUAUCUGCAGAGUGUUGAGGUUAAACUAACAAUCCCAACUAAAUAACUACAUAGAUACGGAUGUGAGAGGAGAAUGUGCAAUGCUGACAUCAAGGAAUCUUCAACUGCAUCCACCUCUAUUGUCGACCAGAACCUUGUUGUUCCUGUGGCACCUUUGGACAGAGAUGACAUGAUGAAUGACUACAUUAAAUACAGGUUGACUACAACACAGUACUUUGUAAAGAGAUGACAUGAUGAAUGACAUUAAAUAAAGGUUGACUACAACACAGUACUUUGUAAAGAGAUGACAUGAUGAAUGACAUUAAAUAAAGGUUGACUACAACACAGUACUUUGUAAAGAGAUGACAUGAUGAAUGACAUUAAAUAAAGGUUGACUACAACACAGUACUUUGUAAAGAGAUGACAUGAUGAAUGACAUUAAAUAAGGUUGACUACAACACAGUACUUUGUAAAGAGAUGACAUGAUGAAUGACUUACAUUAAAUACAGGUUGACUACAACACAGUACUUUGUAAAGAGAUGACAUGAUGAAUGACUACAUUAAAUAAAGGUUGACUACAACACAGUACUUUAUAAAGAGAUGACAUGAUGAAUGACUACAUUAAAUAAAGGUUGACUACAACACAGUACUUUGUAAAGAGAUGACAUGAUGAAUGACAUUAAAUAGAGGUUGACUACAACACAGUACUUUGUAAAGAGAUGACAUGAUGAAUGACUACAUUAAAUAAAGGUUGACUACAACACAGUACUUUGUAAAGAGAUGACAUGAUGAAUGACUACAUUAAAUAAAGGUUGACUACAACACAGUA